rnacentral:rRNA from 1 species
CUACCACAUCCAAGGAAGGCAGCAGGCGCGCAAAUUACCCACUCCCAGAACGGGGAGGUAGUGACGAAAAAUAACAAUACGGGACUCUUUUGAGACCCCGUAAUUGGAAUGAGUACACUCUAAAUCCUUUCACGAGGAUCUAUUCGAGGAUAAGUCUGGUGCCAGCACCCGCGGUAAUUCCAGCUCGGAUAGCGUAUAUUAAAGUUGUUGCGGUUAAAAAGCUCGUAGUUGGAUCUCAGUUCCAGACGGGUGGUCCGCCUACCGGCGGCUACUGCCUGUUCUGAACAACCAGCCGGUUUCUCUUGAUGAUCUUCACCGGUUGUCUUGGGUGACCGGCACGUUUACUUUGAAAAAAUUAGAGUGCUCAAAGCAGGCGUGACGCCUGAAUAAUGGUGCAUGGAAUAAUGAAAUAGGAUCUCGGUUCUAUUUUGUUGGUUUUCGGACCACGAGAUAAUGAUUAAGAGGGACAGACGGGGGCAUUCGUAUUGCGACGCUAGAGGUGAAAUUCUUGGACCGUCGCAAGACGAACUACUGCGAAAGCAUUUGCCAAGAAUGUUUCCAUUAAUCAAGAACGAAAGUUAGAGGAUCGAAGGCGAUCAGAUACCGCCCUAGUUCUAACCAUAAACGAUGCCAGCCAGCGAUCCGGCUGUGUUCCUCAAAUGACACGCCGGGCAGCUUCCGGGAAACCAAAGCUUUUGGGUUCCGGGGGAAGUAUGGUU